rnacentral:rRNA from 1 species
GGAGUUUGGGCCGUGUCUCAGUCCCAAUGUGGCCGUUCACCCUCUCAGGCCGGCUACUGAUCGUCGCCUUGGUGGGCCGUUACCUCACCAACUAGCUAAUCAGACGCGGGUCCAUCGUAUGCCGAUAAAUCUUUUCACACUGCUCCAUGUGAAGCUGUGCGCUUAUGCGGUAUUAGCAGUCGUUUCCAACUGUUGUCCCCCUGCAUACGGCAGGUUACCCACGCGUUACUCACCCGUCCGCCACUAAACUUUAAAUCGCUAGGCUUCAUUAAAGUUCCGUUCGACUUGCAUGUGUUAGGCACGCCGCCAGCGUUCAUC